rnacentral:rRNA from 1 species
UACAGAGGGUGCAAGCGUUGUUCGGAAUUACUGGGCGUAAAGCGAGUGUAGGCGGCCUAUUAAGUCAGAUGUGAAAUCCCUUGGCUCAACUGAGGAACUGCAUCUGAUACUGGUAGGCUUGAGUGUCGGAGGGGAUGGUAGAAUUCCUGGUGUAGAGGUGAAAUUCGUAGAUAUCAGGAGGAAUACCUGUGGCGAAGGCGACCAUCUGGAAGACAACUGACGCUGAGACUCGAAAGCGUGGGUAGCAAACAGGAUUAGAUACCCUGGUAGU